CUUUAUUUUGGAAGGCAAAUCCCUGGAGAUCUGUGAGAUCAGAGAGAAACAUGAGACCCAUCUGUAACCUGCUGAUUAGUGAGUCAACAGUAAAUUGUUUUGUACGAAAAGGGGUCGAGUAAUGAGCUAAGGCCAGUUGAGUGCUUGCGUGGCUGUGAAGCACCAGUGCUGCAAAGAUGGGAAAAGACAAAGUGAUGUGACUUCUGGGGAAGGCACCUUAAAAUAGAAAGAAAAAGAAAGGUGGGAUUGUUGGAAUUUUUUUUUCUAUUGAGAAGCAUGAUCCUGUCUGCUAAGACUCUCCUCUUGAAAUCCUGUCUGGAUUUCAGGUUAUGCCAAGCCCAGGAAGGAUGAAGGAAAAAUUGCUCCCUAGUUAAAGCCAUUUCUACUGAAAAUUCUCUGCAUGGAGAAAGGGCUUGAGAAAGUGGACUCAUCCCAAGAAGGAUUUGAAGAGGCCAAGUAUUCAAAGCAGCAGCAUGCAAACUCCAGGAGGGCCUUCAGAGGUGUAAGUGGUAGGUGGUUGGAAGUGAAAAAUAGAUGUGACUUUAGGAAAGGAUCAUGAUAGAACUGGAAGAAUUCCAUUGAAGAACUCAGACGGAGACAGUGUAAAUCACGUGAACCUGAAGCGAACCAAAAAUCAUGAGAAGAUGCUUGUUUAAUACACAAGGAACUCUAAAAACAAUGAGGAAAAAGCAACAGUCUUACUAACAUAUGUGUCUUAAUUUACUCAUAUCUGUGCAGACUUCAUUCUGCUUUUAAUAAUAAUGCAUCACAGGCCUUUUAUAGUCUGUUUCAAACUCCUGUCUAACAUGAUGAAAAUCUUAAAUAUGAUCCUUUUAAGGAUGGAAGAUGUAUCACAUAGAAUGGAGGAGGACUGCGGUACAAAAAUGAAUGGCCACCUAGCACAUCUGCAGCAGCAGUCAUCAGCAGAUGUUUAGGGGAGAAUAGAAAACUGAGGAUGUGUGACAUGAUUAAUUUCCUUGUUUAGCCUCUUGUUUUGAGUAUUCAGCUUUUCAGUGACUUCCUGAACUGGAAGUUCAAUAUGGUCGGUCAUGUCCUACUGAUACAGCUUUCUGGCAUGAGUUUGUUCAGUGUCUUUUGAACCUGUUUGAGUACUAUUCUCAUCACUGACCCAUGGCAGUUAUUAUACGAUGCCUAAUAAAACACAGAGCUUUUUUCCCCCCAAAAUGCUAAUGACUUUUUUGCACCCUGUUGUUUGUUUAACAGUUAGUGACUAAUGUUUAUCUGGUCUCUCUGCUUCCAUUUAGUAAUUUAGAACUUCUCCCAUGUCUCACCUCAAUUAUGUAUUUUCCGUGUGAAGGGCUCCUGGUCCAUGCUGCUCGUGAGGUGGAACAGCACACACUUUUGAUCAUCAUUGCUGCUCUCUGAGCAUACUCUGUUUCUUCUAUAUGCUCAGAUUGGUGGGGGUCAGACUCACAUGCUGUAGUCAAGCUUUCAGUAAUACUUUUUAAGCCCUUGGUGUACCUGGGGAUGCUAGUAGUGGUCUGAUGGUUAAGAUGGCAGAACCUGGAGGAGGUAUUACAACUGCUUAGAUAGUAUGUCUAGAAAUCUGGAGGCGGCACUCAACAGUUUCUCAGGUUGGAAACAAAAUCAAGGGAAGGGAAGAAUUUCUCAGAGACUCUAGACCUCCAUGAUCUGAAUCACAGAAUCACAGAAUGGACCCUUUGGUUCAUCUGGUCCAAUCCCUGCUCCAGCAGGACCACCCAGACCAGGCUGCCCAAGCCCACAUCCAAGUGGCUUUUGAAGAUUUUCACAGCCUCUCUGGGCCACCUGUGUCAGUGCUCAGUCAUCUACACCGUAAAUUUUGACAAAGUCCAAAUAACAUAAAAGGGAGCCAUGCAAGGAUUUGUCUCUCUGGGGGUCCUACGUGGAGCAGAAUGAAGAUGAAAGUUGUGUCUUUUUCAGAUCUGUACAUGUGGUUCUGGAAUACACACAGUGUUUGAUGUGGAUGGGGUUGAAGGUCUCAGCUCCUGUUCCUCAUUUCUCUAAAUCUGUGCCUAAGGGUAGCUGCUAAAGAAAGAGUCAGAUCACAAUCUAAAUCUCUUGUGUCUUUUCAUUAUUUUUUUUCCAUUCCAUCUAGAGAUGUGAAGUGUAUUAAUUUUGAUUGAAACCCCAAUAAGACAUAGAAAAAGAAAAAAGCAUCUUGAUAUCUUCCUGGCACUAUAUGCCAGCACUAAACAGCUUGCUACAUGGUGUCAUGAUAUGGAAUACUGAUAAAUCCAGGAGACUUCCUUUAUCUCUAAUCCCAAGUUAUGUUCCCAGGAAUGAACAGAUAAAAUUAACAUCUUUUGAACUCAGAGAUAUUGAUGGUUUCUUCAAGAAAGUAAGUGUCCAUGUGAGAUGAAGAUGGAAAUCACCUAAUGAAAACAGUAAUACACAUAAUUGAUAUUUCCAAAUUCAACCUUCUGGUGACUGUGAAAAGGAUUGUAAGAGAUAAACUAUAAAUAAAAUAUGAAGAUAAAACUUUUCAAAUUGGAUGUUUUAGAAGAAUGCUUAUGGUUUUACCUAUUUAUUUAUUUUUACUGUUUGGAAUUUAGCAAUUGGUAUAAAUAAAAGAAAGUAGAGAAUUCAAAUAAUGGGAAGCCCACUUCUGCCAUACCAUUUUAUGACUGAUCCAGUGCCUAUCCCUGUUUUUAUUCCAUUCUCUAAAUUCUAAGCCAAGCCACUGACCAGAUGCAGUGCAGAAAAAAUAUCUUGAAAUAAAUAGGUUUAUGUAUUUAUACACAUUCUGCUUUGCUCAUAAUGAAACUCAUUGAGAAAACACAUGUCAAAUAAUUCUCAGAAAUAAGAAUUAAAACAAAAAGGAAUCUAAUGUUACAACAGUGGUCAAAGAACAGUGUUAAGAUGUAAGCUGAAUUUUGUUCAAAGGUUUGCUAAGCCGUAGAAGAGCUGUGCAAGAGCAAAACACAAAGACCUGUGAUGGCAUCUGAAUGUGCUUCAAAUAAGCAAAUGUUUACGUAGUCUACCAAGGCUAGUAUCAUUUUUUUACCACAUUGAUGUAUUAGUGUGUUCCACUGUCUUUUCUUCCUCACCUCCUAAUGAUAACCAUGUCUUAAUGAGUUUAUCUGCCCUCAGUGGUUAUAAUGACAUAUAAUACUUUCUCCGUUUUGACCAGUUUUAAUUUCAUGUUUUAAUUGAGCAUACAGUCACUCUGAUGAAAGACACAGACAUAUUACAAACUGAUGAGUAGCAGACCUGGUAUUUGUGGAAUUUAUUUCAGUGUAAGUUAGUUAUCUGAGUCACAUCCACUUGGACAGACUAGUUCUCAAAUUCUUUUUGAAAACAUUUAUUUCAAUAUUCCAUUAAAAAAAAAAAAAAAAAAAAAAGAAAAAGAGAGAGAGAGAGAGAGAGAAGUAAGAGCUCUGGAAACAAAGCUUCGUUCAUUACUAUCCAGAAUUUUGUCAGCACUGUACCCAUCCUAGUCAGCUGCUAUUCACUGUUUAUCAUUUCAGUCCAAUAGAAAAUGCUGAGCAGAAGAUUUACCACAGUAUAACUGAAACAUAAAGUUCUGGCUACAUAUAAAUAAACGAAGGCAAAUUCUACUGUCAUGAUAUGUACAAUAUCCAAAUAGUAACAGUGAACAUAGAGAUACAGUGUAAUAAAAGAAUUAUGGCUUAGGGGCUGUUGCUGAUGUCCUGACUCCUGAUGCAGCAACGUAACCUUACUGAAUUCAGCAGUAAUUGCUUGAAAAAUAUUACUGGACAGAAACUGAGUCAACAUUAAUGAAAAUGAAUAAUAUCCCUCAAAUUUUAGGUUAUGCAGCUAUGUGUGAUGAAAGAUAAUCUGGACAUAGAGAUGAAGAAAUACAUUAGGACACUAAGACCAUGCAAGUAAUUCAUAAGGGGAAUUUUUUGCCUAAUGAAAUGAUGUACCAUUUACUGAAUGGCUUCUUGAGGUUUCAUUACGUCCUGUGUCCUGUUGCUUCUUGGUGAUAGCCAGAAAUGACUCUGCUGAACUCAACAGGAUGAUCUCUCUACAUGAAUGCAUCCUUAGAGUAAAGCAGAUGGAGUAUUUAUUUCCGAAUGACAGCAGUGUUACUAUGAAAAUGUUCUACAGUCUCUAAAUUCUACUGACAUACUAAAUGACAAAUGCGGGAUAUAUGUUUUGUGAUUAAAUUUUCCAGUUUCUGGUGUAGUGCUUUUAAUAUGGAAAGCAAAUUCACAUGUUUUCAGCUUUGAGAACAGAGUCCAGUAUUGCAGUUUGGCACUGCAGUAAGCUAAGUAAGGGAAAAAGUUAUUGUUUUCCUGAACAUGGAAAAUAUAAGAGGCAGUACAAAUACUGAAACAAGUAAGGCAAUAUUUUAUACACAACUAAGAAUUUGGUAAGAGUGAAGACAAAAGAUGGUUUUGGACAACAAAAGUUUAGAUCAAAUCCAAACUCCUUUAGCAUUUAGCUGUUUCAGGACCAUCCUCUUGAUACUUUUUAAACAAGCAAGCAAACAAAAAAAUCUCAAAAUAUCUCUAUACAAAGAAAACACAGUGAAAAACAGUCUUGAACCUAAAUUAAAUAAUAGCAGUGGUUAGAGGUCUACUGGCGAGAAAUUAGAAGGGUCCUAGGGCUUUAUUCCCAUAGAGUCCUAAGCUUUUCAGUUUACUUUAAUAAAAACUUAAAUCACUCUCCAAUGAUUUCUCUUAAGGAAAAGCAUGAGUUAAAAGAGAAUGGGAAAGUAUAAACAAGUUGAAUGUCACAGACUGGUAAAUAAAAAGUUAUGGUCUGAAGGAAUGGCUGUGAUUUCAAAGAGAUAUGGAUUCAUGCAGGAUGUGAGUAACUCCUUUAGACUUCCCACUAUCUAUAAGUGGGCUCCCACUGACGUUAUUGGUAUCCUCUGUCAAGAGAAUAGGACCCAUAUUUUUAGAUUUGUGUAUACCAGCUAUUUGCUGGAGUUGUUAUCACACUCGUAUUUUUAGCGGUUCACUAUAUUAAGGAGAGGAGCUUUUGCAUUGUGUUGUGUCAUUUGCAGUGUGCAAACUUCCUGGAGCUUUUCUGCUCCUUUGAUCCCACCAGCCACAGUAGCAGAAGAGCUGACUCAUCAGCCACGACUAUUUCUUCCAUAACAGGAGCUCCCCAGGUAGGCGGAAAUUUGCCAAACACAGGAAGGUAACAGCCAUAUCCACUCUGAGCCCUGGACUAACUCAAAGUCCACUGCAAACAGGAAGAAUCUCAGCAAUAUCAGAGUUGAUUGCAGGUAUUUCAUGGAUUUGUCUUCUGACAUUCUGUAGCAAUGUUAUGUCACUGUAUCCUAAGUAUACUUUGUGCACUUUUCAUCUGUAGUAAUACCAAAGUACAGUAAUGAUCAGUUUCUUGCUGGGUACAUUUAUCUUUACUUAUUGUACAGAUAGUGGUGUUAUUUUGUGAUUUGUGUUGUUAGUUAUACACGCUAGCUCACAGAAAAUCAAAAUAAAAUUAUACAAUUCCUCCUGACCCAGAAAUGCUAUUUCCCCACUCCUCCCUUCCAUACAUGCAAUCUUUCUUGACAUCUAUUUAAAAUAAAAUGUAUUGGCUUUUUCCAUAAAGCCAGUAUGUUAUGUGAAUUUGCUAGAAAGAUGACACAAUAUUACAUUAAAUUUUUGAAAACAUGGAAGUAACUAAAUUCUUAUGCACAGUAUAUUGAGAAGAGAUAUGACAGUUUAAGAAUGAGAAGAUUUAUGUGAGCUUAACUUUAUGCAUUGUAACAAAAUGGAACAGACUGACCAGGAAGUGGUGCAGUCACUGUCUCUGGAAGUGUCUGAGGAAAGGGUAGGUGUAGUACCUAGGGACGUUUUUAGUGGGCAGUAUUGGUGUUUGGUGGAUGGUUGAAGAAGAUGAUCUUAGAGGUCUUUUCCAACCUUAUUUAUUCUAUGAUUCUAUCAAAAUUUUCAAAAAACCCCAAUCCAACACACACUUUUAUUCUGUUUGAAUUUAAGGAAUUGUGUAAUGUAUUUUAAAAUACUUCUGUCUCAAUUUUCUUGACUGGUUCUAUAAAGCAAAUCUCUUAACAUAUAGUAUUUUGAAGAUGCUCAAUAGCUUAUGAAGCAGCAUGACUUAUUCCCAAUAGGUCUUACUCUCUUUCCAUUUUUCAGUGGAUGUAGAAGCUUGAGUAGCAAUCACUUCUUUCUUUUUUUCCUUCUUUUGCUUCCUUUUUCCUUUUUUUUUUUUUUAAUGUACAUUUUGCUUCAAACUUAUAUUAGUGAAAGACAGUCUGCAAAGUACCUCUUUGUACUUGGAGCAGAAAUAUCUCAAGUAAUGAGAUCAGCCAGCAUGGGUUCACGAAGGGCAGGUCCUGCUUGACCAACCUGAUCUCCUUCAAUGAUCUAGUGACCUGACUGGUGGAUGAGGGAAAGGCUGUUGAUGUGGUCUACCUAGACUUCAGCAAAGCCUUUGACACUGUCUCCCACCGUAUUCUCCUGCAGAAGCUGGCAGUCCGUGGCUUGGACAGAUACACUCUUGGCUGGGUAAGGAACUGGCUGGAGGGCCGGGCCCAGAGAGUGGUGGUGAAUGGAGUUAAAUCCAGCUGGCGACCGGUCACGAGUGGUGUUCCCCAGGGAUAGGUGCUGAGGCCUGUCCUGUUUAAUAUCUUUAUUGAUGACCUGGAUGAGGGUAUUGAGUGCACCCUCAGUAAGUUUGCAGAUGACACCAAGCUGGCUGGAAGUGUUGAUCUGCCUGAGGGUAGAAAGGCCCUACAGAGGGAUCUGGAUAGCUGGGCUGAAGCCAAUGGGAUGGGAUUCAACAAGACCAAAUGCCGGGUCCUGCACUUUGGCCGCAAUAACCCCAGGCAAUGCUACAGGCUUGGGGCAGAGUGGCUGGAAGACUGUGUAGAGGAAAUGGACCUGGGGGUGUUGAUUGAUGCUAGGCUGAACAUGAGCCAGCAGUGUGCCCAGGUGGCCAAGAAGGCCAAUGGCAUCCUGGCUUGUAUCAGAAAUAGUGUGACCAGCAGGAACAGGGAAGUAAUUAUCCCCCUGUACUCAGCACUGGUGAGGCCGCACCUCGAGUACUGUGUCCAGUUUUGGGCCCCUCACUGUAAGAAAGACAUCGAGGCCCUGGAGCGUGUCCAGAGGAGGUCAGCAAAGCUGGUGAGGGGUCUGGAGCACAGGCCUUAUGAGGAGUGGCUGAAGGAGCUGGGAUUGUUCAGUCUAGAGAAGAGGAGGCUCAGGGCAGACGUUAUUGCUCUCUAUAACUACCUGAAGGGAGGUUGUGGUGAGCUGGGGGUUAGCCUCUUCUCUUGGGUGACUGGUGAUUGGACUAGAGGGAAUGGCUUCAAGCUGCACCAGGGAAGGUUCAGGCUGGACGUUAGGAAUACUACUUCUCUGAAAGGGUGGUCAGGCACUGGAAUGGGCUGCCCAGAGAGGUGGUGGAGUCACCGAGCCUAGUGGUGUUCAAAGAGCGUUUGAAUGUUGUGUUGAGGGACAUGGUUUAGCGAAAACCAUUGGUGAAGGGCGAAUGGUUGGACUGGGUGAUCCUGUGGGUCUUUUCCAACCUUAGCGAUUCUGUGAUUCUAUGAUUCUAUGAAUGCAAUACACUGAAUGAAAAUGCAGAGAUGCAAGGGCAGUAAAUUGCCCUGAUUCCAAGUAUGUUUAAGAUAACAUUUUGUUUGGCUUCCAACAGCUCUGCUACAGAAGCUCACAAGCUAAGAAAGGCUGGACCUCACUGAUACUUGGAUGGAAUAUCUUCAUAUUUAUUUUAGGGAGUGGCACUAAUGACUUUGUAGCUGGCACUUUGAAUUGGUGUUACCUCAGAACUUAUUAUUUUGUUAGGGAUAAAAAAUUGCAAGAGAGAAAAAAGGCUGAAUUUUCAAAUACCAAUCCAGUCAUAAAUCCGGUGGCCUUCUAUGAUAGAGUGACAGCAUAGGUGGACAAAGGAAGAGCAACUGAUGUUUUCUAGCUGGACUUCUGCAAGGACUUCAUAAUGGUCCUGCACCAUUAUGCCCAGCCAGAGGCUGGUGAUGACUUCUUUUAUCUCUGGGAAUCUUUUCCUCUGCAAAGGGUGCUGGCCUUCCACAAAAUUCAAGUCUUAAAAGUUUACAGCUGCCUUUGUUUCCACAGAAUUCAAGCCAACUGAGAGUAAAGAGCUGUCCUAAUACCUCUUGCAGUCUGAGGGCGCUGCAGAGAACGUGCAUAGCCCCAGUAUAUGUGUGAGCAUUUGGCUUGCCAUUUCAUUUUGCUGAAACAUGUCAGGCUUACCAAAUGCUGUAUGAGGCCCAGGAGAUGUCUACUAAGACCUUCUGUCUUCCUGUAGACUCAUUUCUAGGGAAUAGUUUGAUGUGCACUGAUCUAAUACUUAUCAUCACAAUAUGUAUGCAUCUAUGAAUGUACAUACGUGGAUAUGUGUGUAUAAACAUACACACAUACGAACUCUUCUGUCAAGAAGAAAGUGGACAAAAUAUUAAUUACUGAAGCAAUUCUAUCACUAUAUUCAAUACUUAGUGCUUUAUUCACAAUGUUUUAUUUUCAUUUUUGCUCUCCUUUUAUAGAUGACAAUUUCAACAAAGGGAGGAAGAAAAAACAGAGCUCCAGUGUUGGCAAUGGAAAUAUCUCUCCGUUCUUUCUAAAUGUAAUUUGCUAAACCAGUCUUCACUCAUGCUGCUCUUUAAGGCAGUGAUACACUGGGAAGCAUUUCACAGUUUCUAUGCACAGGAGAGAUUCCUGGUCUCAGCUGUGUAAAUGUUUUAACUGAGAUUCAUGCUUGGCUAUUCAGGUCAUUGCUUUCUCUUCCAGCCCACACAAGCCAAAAUGCAUCAAUAUAAGCAUAAAGCAUCCAAAAUCAACACAGUAUUUUCACUUGAACGCACCUAUGGCACGUGGUUUGCUCAAAGUACAGGGUACUAGGCCAAGUGCUAGAUUUACACAUUUGCCUGAUAUGAACUUAGUAUGAUCUACAAAAUUCAUGCAACAGUCCUGUUUUGUGCCUUUUCAAAUCUGACUUGGCGAGAUUCCAAGGAAGGAAUCAAAGGAAUACAAACUCUUGGUUCAGACUUCAGAAUGGACUAAACUAAUGUAGGAAACCUUUAAAAAAUAUGAAGCUUAAUGUCUACUGUUACCGUACAUAUGCUUCUGACUUCAAGCAACCGACAACUUCUUCCCUGUGUUGAAUGGAAGAGCACAGGCACUCUUCCCUCUAUUAUUCUGUUUUAUUUUGUGUAAGAGUUUCAGUCACACAUGGAAACUCAAAAACAGAUUAAAGACUAAGGUGGAUUUGGUUUAGAAGGGCUCAGGUAGCUCUAGAGGCAGUCUUAAUACAGAAAUUUGCAGGGAUUUUGUUCCCACAUGCUUUUAUUCUGUCUGUAGUUCUUUGCAACCUCAAAUGGAAGACAGUGAAUCCCAAGGCACCUCCUGUGGUGCCAAGACUCUCCUUUUGUGACAUUUCUCUUGUUUUGUUUUUAAUCUAAAUUUCAGUGUAAUCAUGAAAACAGAACUUUCAUGCUAUUUUUUACUGAAUUUAAAAAGGAGGUCUUGAGGGUUUUUGUGGUCCAACCUUGAGGAACUCCUGCACCCAGUGACUAGGCCUUUUGCUGUUUAGUAUGUUCUCUGUGAGGUGAAAGAUGCCAUGUUCUCAGAAUCCCGGAACUACUUUUCAAUAGCUAAUUUACUGCCACAAACACUUGCUGCUUGAGACUGUAAGGUUGAUUGCUGGGCACCCAGAAAAGGGCUCCCAGACAAUUCUGCGAGACUACUGCAUGUAGUUGGUUUGGCUCUGGGAUUUCACAAGCUUUGGGUCACAGAUGCUUACGGGCAUACACAUGGUUGACUGCAGUACUAUAUCCAUACACUUGCCAUACGAGCAUACAGACCAAACAUCCCCCUGCACUUGUCAGUGAAAGCACAAGGCUUUUCUUAUUUCUUUGAGAAAUAAAACUAAGUAGUUCUGGCCUUGUAUAUAUUUAUUAGAUAUUAGAUAAAAAUAAUAAGUAGAUAUUAGAUAUAUUUACCACCUUAAGCCUAAAGUAAUACGAAUGCAGGAAAAAUAAUGUAGUUCUGCAGUUGAUCUUGCAAGACAGAAAAGCUUCAUUCUUCCCUAUCAAUUUGUCUUGCCUACAGCUAAGGAAUACUCUAAUCAUUAAGCUAUUUGGGAAGCUUUACGUUUUUUUUGUUUGUUUGUUUGUUUUGUUUUUGAAAUCUACAGCUGUCCUCUAUCUUUUAACUGCUUUCAAGCAACAUUAUUUCCACAGUUUGAGGCCAAAGCUGGCAACAGUUUUAGGACUUUCAAAACUUUUUUAACUUUGGUAAAUCAUUUUCACUGAGGAAAAAAAAAUAAAAAAAAAUCAAUUUCACUACUUUUGUUCAGGACAAAAUUGCUCUGGCCUCUAACUAUCCCAAACUGCAACUCAUUUGUGUGUCUCACUGUAAAAAAACAAUAUUGCAGGAGUAAAACCUCAUUUACUUAUGCUGAAAAAUACAUAAUGCAUCUCUUUCUCAAGGACAUGGUCACUUACUGUAUACUCUGCCAGAUGGAAAACUAAGCGUUCAUCGUAAAUACAUGUGCCACUGCUUCAGGACUCACUAAAGACAGGUGGUUGGUAUAGCAGGUCAAUUCAAAAGGUGGCCCACUGAACUGAAAAAUUAAAGCAACACAGAAGUAAAAGAGUAUUGUUUUUCCUCUCUAUAAAAUGAGUUCAAUUUUUUAUGCUGAUAUUUUAGGGAAAUUGUCAAAUUAUCUCAAUCUCUUCAAUUCAAAAUUACUGCAAAGUACUUGCAACAAGAUAUAUUAAUAUGGCCUUAAUGCUGGGAUGGUUUCAAAAUCAUAUGCCAGUGCAGAUUACCAGGUUGUGAAUGAAAUAAAUAUUAUGUUUCAACUCAAGGUUGAGAUACUGAAGGGGUAGCUUGCACUGGUGAAACUUGAUUCACUGUAGGGACACACACUGUAGUGCAUUCAAACUCCUAAUUACAUUUAGUUCCAUUUAACUUUAGUUUCUUAUUUUUUAAGCCUUGCAUAGGUACCAGUUGCCACCUUUACUCCAGAAAGCUGUGGUAACAGGAAUCUGCACAUUAGCCACAAGACAAGUUAGAACUAGAGUUAAGCACCUUCAGAAUUUCAGUUAGUUUAAAUGAAAGUGAUAAUAAGGGGUCUGGAGCGUAAGUCUUACGAGGAGUGACUGAGGAGUCUGGGAUUGUUUAGCCUGGAGAAGAGGUAGAGGGGAGGCUUCAUAUCUCUCUACAACUACCUGAAAACAAGUUGUAUUGAGGCAGGCAUCAGCAAUAGGACUAGAGGGAAUGGCCUCAAGUUGCACCAGGGGUGGUUCAGGUUGGAUAGUGGGGAAAAUUUGUUCUCUGAAAGCAUGAUCAAGUGCUGGAAUGGGCUGCCCAGGGGAGCUGAUUGAGUCACCAUCCCUGGAAGUGCUCAAGAAACAUUUAGAUGUUGUACUAAGGGGGAUGGUUUAGUGGGAAAUAUUGGUGAUAGGUGGACAGUUGGAUUGGAUGAUCUUAGAGGUCUUUUCCAACCUUGGUUAUUCUAUUAUUCUAUAAUUAUAUGAUACAUAAAGCAGAGCCCAGAUCAAAUGAACAGGAUCAUUUUCACAGAUCAGUUAAUAUCUGUGAAGAAGUGAAUAUGCACGCUGCCUGUGCAUCUGUAACUAGUUACAGAAAGGAUAGAAGAAGUGAAAGAAAAGCCAAUUGCUCAUUGAUGUACUUGUCUAGCACUAGGACUGAUUGGGGGAUUGUGUAGAAAUAAGCCACACUCUUUCCUAGUGUGGGCCCUAGAGUCAAAGAAACACUUAAUGGUAUUGCAACUGAAUCUCAGUACACUGUUUCAACCUGUCCGUCAAUGUUUUUCUGAGCUCAUUUGUUUGCCGUUCUGUGCCUGCUAUCCUUUCUCGCUUUUUGGCUUUAUCUGUGUUCACGCUUUUUUUCCCCAAAAGGUGUGCUGCAUGGAGUAUUAAUCUAUUGCUGUUUCCUCCCAGAUACCUCACUUUCCAUUGAAAAGAUAUUGAAACUCUAAUGUUAUUUCUAUAUGAUUGUAAGACUUCAUAAGGAAUUUUCUGGAGUAGAUAAGAAAUCAAAAUGUUCUCAGUUUUUAUCCAUAUCUUCUUAUAUUCUAGUCAAUCUAUGUAAUGCUGUCUUCUAACAAGUGAAAUAGAAAGCCAUGGUAUUAGCGUUUUCCUUAGAGUAGCAAACAAUGUUCAACAGAGAAUUCUGCCAUCCAUAAAAUUCGAAAUAAACCUAAGUUAGUGGCUUUUGUUGCCACUGCUCACACAGAACAUAUCUUAUUAACAUUUUGGUUUUAUAAGUUUAUUGUAUUAAGGGUAUAUUUUAUCAAUAUAUCCUUUGUGUAACGCAGAGAAGGAGAAGGGAAGAACAGAGAACCAGACAAACUGACGUAAGAAAAUGUUUAUACUAGGGAAAUUCCUGACUGUACUUGGGCUACCUGUUGAAGGUCAAGUCUGCCUGAAAUGAAAUAAAAAAUAUAAAAGUGCCAAUGGUACAAAUACCAGCAAGUAUCAAUGGAUUCCAAGGAUCUCUUUCUCCACCUGUCAUGGAUGUUCAGAGAAACCUGAUGUCUUUGUAGCCUCAGUG
ensembl:lncRNA